ACUAUCUAAAAAAAAAAAUAAAUGUUUUUUUUUUUUUUUUUUUUUUUUUUUUUUACAAAAAAAUUGCUCAGCAAGCUACUAAACUCCAUAAGCUAUAGAAAUCGCAAACUAUUUUGUUUGCUAACAUCAGACUGUUAGCUAGCUAUGUGGAUAGCUGGGUGGUUAGAGUUAGCUAGAAACUUUCUUUAAAACUAAUGCGUUUGUUCCUUGUUCAGGUGUGAAACUAAAAAUUACUCACACAGCUAACUAGCUGCAGUACAUCAAGCAAAAACUGCUAAUGCUAGUUUCUUACUGAGCUAGAGAGUUAGCUUGCUAGUUAGUGUUAGUUACAGUAGAACUUUUCUUCAUAAUAAUCAGUAGUGGUGUUAAACUAAAAAAAUAAAUAAAAUAAAUAAAUAAAUAAAAAGGUACAGGUAUAUAAACCAUACACUCUUUGAUUGCUAACAUUAGUCUGUUAGCUAGCUAGGUUGCUCACUGGCUAAUUAAUGCUAGUUAAAAAACAUAUUGGAUAGCUAGCUAGCUAGUGGUAUAAAUAUUGUAUUGGAGAAAUGUGAGGGUACAAGUGUGUCAGUUAUUAAACAGUAUACUUCCUCUGAGGUUUUUUUUAAAAAAAAGCCCCACCCACUUAUUGUUAACCAAUCAAUUUCAUUCUGUCCCUAAGGCAGCGCGGCCUGCGGAACGCUACUGAUUGGUGCAUGAGUUUGCACAACAAGGCUCAAUUAGCAUGAGUCAUUAGCAGCAAAAACAAACAGCCUACAGGGCUUACUAGCUGAAACACACACACACACACACACAGUUAUCUAAUCCGCAGAUCUCUCAGCAUGCUGUUCACACAAAGAGACACCAGAGAUGUGAGAGAGUGAGACAGUGAGAGAGAGACAUGUCCUCUCUGUCCUUGGCAGCAGACGGAGAUUUCUGCGCUGGUUUACUUCCAAACCAUCGACCUGGAAAACCCCUAAAUCUGGGCCAAGCUUCCUACUGAGCCACUGUUAAAUCACUUUCCUCACUUUUGUCAUGGAGUUCCUCUUACUAGCAGAAAUGCAUCCAAAUACAUAUGAAAAUGUGGCGUCCAUGAAAAUCCAGUUGGUUGGAAAAAACGUUCGCAUCAGACGUUCCGCUUCGGAGUUUGCGUGAACGUCAGUAUGAGGAAGAAACUCGAUUCAAAUCGUAUCAUUUUGAAAGACUUGCUGCUUUGUGGAUCGAUACGGAUUACCCUGUCAAGUCUAAAUCCCUUCUUUAUUUCAGAGUUAAGACAAAUAAGACUCGCUGUUCAAUUAGGAUGAAAGUAAUGGCGCCCUGUCAAAUGACUUAGUGUGUCUCUAUGGUAGCUUACACGCUGCAAUAGCUGAGCUGUAUUAUUAUUAUUAUUAUUAUUAUUAUUAUUAUUAUUAUAUUUAGCACACGCCAUGCUUAGGAGUGGCUCUUUCACCGUUUAGCCGCCAUUUUGUCGUUUUCAAUAUCUCCUUGCCUUUUAUGAAGUUUUGUAGGCGUGGCUAAAUGUAAAUCACCCCUGGUAAAUUAUGCCUGAUUUGCAUUUAAUAACAUACACACGUGAGCAAAACUUUUGUAAAUCCGGUGAGAAUUUGGAGUUCAAAGGCGGGGGGGGGACCCCGUGGAUGGCUCUGUGUUCGUCUUUGGUUUUCGAACUUUUUGAACUAGCAGUGAUGAGUGACGUAUAUUUUCCUCAGAACAGUGAACUGUAGAGUCAGUGUUAUAGAUUUAACAAGCGAAUAUGUCUGAAGACUGACUGUUGUCGAUUGUCACUCAGGACUUCCAAGUUAUGGGAUGUUUUCCUAGAUUUAUUUGAUUUUUUUUAGUCGGAGUGCAGCACCACACACAAAUUUACUAAAUGAGGCCCAGUGAGUGUUUCCUGUAGUAGUCACGUUUCAUAUAAAAUAAUAAACAAAACUCAAAAGUUCUAUUAAUUCUCACCAGAAAAGAAAAUACAUUUGGCAGCUGGCCCUGAGACCCUGUGUGGUGUGUGUGGUGUGUGUGCUGGACAUAUGGUUGUCCAUAUGAGUGAUGUGUGCUGUAACGUGAGCCGUGUUCACGCGCCGUCGUCAGUCGGGUGAUAAAGAGGCCAGGCAUGAGAGUGAUGGAUAAACACCACCUCAGUGCCAUGGUGACUCAACUGCCAGGAAACACACACCUCAACCUCCAGUCCUGCUCUUACACUCUCUCUGUCUCACACACAUGUAUGAUUUUGAGAGUACGUUUCCAUCUAAAUGCUUCACACUUGGACAGGACGAUCAGCAGCUCAUCUUCCCUCUGCGUUUUUAUCCACUUUUACACACACACACACACACACACACACACACACACACACACACACACACACUCACACAGUUACUGGCUGCUUCCCAAACACUUACUACAGGAUGAAAUAGCGGCCUCUCGGAAUAGUGUGCUAUCUCUGGUGUCUUUUAUUUAGCAAAGCGUUUCGCAUUCGCAAUGACUCUUUCCCAGUUACUACGAUAGCCGCCUGCUGCUUGUGGCUACGUCCCAAAUCGCAUACUGAUUACAUAGUAAACUAUACAUUUAUAAAUACUUCAUCAAAGUGUGUGUGGGUGUGUGUGUGUUCGUUUCGUGUCAACAGGCAACAAAAAGACUUUUAAAAAGUUACUGUUUAGGUAAAAACCCAAAUCCUUUUAUGCUAAUCCGCAAACUACUUCUACUUUAAUUAGCCCAUAAACCCACUGCUCACUCCCAGCUGAACCCGUCGUUAAGGUAACCAAUCCGAUUUAUCUUUAGUUUAUGCUAAUUAAGCUGACUCCUCCCUUCAUGAUCAUUAAUCAUAUUUUUUCAAUGUUAAUACUAAUGAAUCAAAUUACUUCCAUAUGCUUUGUGCUAAUUAACAUACUAAUUCCGAGUUCCGGACUCCUCCCCUUUCACACUAAUUACCCAGACACACAUCUAAUUAAAGCUAAUUAAUCAGAAUCAUCUCAGCUAGAGUGACUCGUUAUGCUGAUCAGAUUCAAACAUCACGUCUACUGUGACACAUUUGCUAAUUAAACCUACUCAUAUGAAAGACACGCCCUAUUUAUUAAACAAAUUUGGCAAAUCUUCAUUUCUCUAUGCAAAUUAAUCAGCUGAUGGUGAUUUCUCAGAUUCCUCCCCUUUAACGGUGAACACUGCCUCUACAUAAAUAUGAAUGAAAUAUAGUCUUCUUACUUCUUUAUUUUUUUUUAAUCAAAUUCCUCUACUGUUAUACGAAUUAAUCAGAUUUCUUUCCUGUUCAUGUUAAUUAAUCCAGCGCAUAAUUAUGCAGGUGAUAUGCGAACCCUCCCCCACCACCUCUGCUUCAAUGCUAAUUACAUACACUCCAUCCAUGGUUGUGGUUAUGAAGUAGACUCUCUCCCUAUGUAUGCUGCCUAAUGUGACUCCAUAAAUUAAAUAUGGAUAAAUGAACAUAAAUCAUUAAAAAUAUCUCUCAUGUUUAUGCUAAUGAUCUAUACUAGGUAAGGAAACAGUAAUCCUCAUUCUGGAUGAGACAGAUGCACUAGCGUCUCUCAGUAGUGUUAAAACACAGUUAGCCGUCUCUCAGUGUUGCAUAAAUCAUCUAAACAGUGGGAAACAUUCACAUUCAGAACUCAUCGGCUCCUAAAGGGAAUUAACCACUUUUAAAACUGCACCCAUUAUGGCUCAGAUUUCAGAAUGAAAAGCUCAGCGAGAACGGGUAAAGUGCUGUUAGCGUGCAGUUAACGGCCGUAAGCUUCAGCUCCAUCUCACCUUAUAAAUAUUUACUCCAUAAAACCACAACAUUUAAACAAAGAGCCCAGAAUGACACUUCAUACAGCGCUGAGCUCAUAAAUGCAGAGCUAACACAGUUCAUGCUCUCCAUGUGAUCUGCAGACUCUCCAUCUGAUCUGAGUCAGAUUAUUAGCAGAUUAUUUUAUUGUGCUUAUGAUAUUAUUACAAUAUUGCACUACACAGAACUCCAUGUUCACCUCUAGCCGUUCUCUUGAGUGUUAUUGUGCAGACCGCAGACUGGUGGGCGUGUCAGAGUGGGAUAAACUGCUGUGUCAUUUAUUAAAAUUUUUCUGAGUAGGCACCCAGUGCUACUAACCACAGAGAGUAUCAUCGCUGAGAGUAAAAUCACUGACAAUAGCACCAUUAACAGUAAUAUCGGUGACAUGGUGACACCACUGACAGUAAUAUCGGUGACAUGGUGACACCACUGACAGUAAUAUCGGUGACAUGGUGACACCACUGACAGUAAUAUCGGUGAGAGUGACACCACUGACAGUAAUAUCGGUGACACGGACACCACUGACAGUAAUAUCGGUGAGAGUGACACCACUGACAGUGAUAUCGGUGACAGUGACACCACUGACAGUGAUAUCGGUGACCGUGGCAGCCACUGACAGUGAUAUCGGUGACCGUGACACCACUGACAGUGAUAUCGGUGACCGUGGCACCACUGACAUGAUUAUCGGUGACAUGGUGACACCACUGACAGUAAUAUCGGUGACACGGACACCACUGACAGUAAUAUCGUCGUGAGAGUGACACCACUGACAGUAAUAUCGGUGACACGGACACCACUGACAGUAAUAUCGGUGACACGGACACCACUGACAGUGAUAUCGGUGACAUGGUGACACCACUGACAGUAAUAUCGGUGAUACGGACACCACUUACAGUGAUAUCGGUGAGAGUGACACCACUGACAGUAAUAUCGGUGACACGGACACCACUGACAGUAAUAUCGGUGAGAGUGACACCACUGACAGUGAUAUCGGUGACAUGGUGACACCACUGACAGUAAUAUCGGUGACACGGACACCACUGACAGUAAUAUCGGUGAGAGUGACACCACUGACAGUGAUAUCGGUGACAUGGUGACACCACUGACAGUAAUAUCGGUGACACGGACACCACUGACAGUAAUAUCGGUGACCGUGACACCACUGACAGUGAUAUCGGUGACCGUGACACCACUGACAGUAAUAUCGGUGACAUGGACACCACUGACAGUAAUAUCGGUGACACGGACACCACUGACAGUGAUAUCGGUGACAAUGACACCACUAUUUAUUUAUUUAUUCCAUAAUGGUGUACAGUACUCAUAUACUUGAUUUUGUCAUAAAAGGCACUGGCUGCAUUUGCCACCGCAGUUAUAGGACAAGUUGUGUAGACUGUAAGACUGGAGUCCAAACAAGAAGACAGAAAAUAACGGGUUUUACUCCGACACUCAGUCAUUAUAGCAGAAACAUGGCGGCGUGGUGGCGUCUGAAACGAUCUGCUCUCUACACUGCGUUUUCCAGCGGACUUUUAGCCGUGCAAUUAUCAGCUGACUGUGUUUUCCUGAAACGUCCACACAAACGUUUCCUCCAGCUCCACAUCGGCUCAGGUUUCAUAUGAGGGGAAACUAUGAGACAUUCCCUCCCCUUACCCUACACACACUCACACACACACACACACACACACACAGCAACGUCAACACCUGCACAGCUAAACUGUUCCCCAGUGUAUCAUGUGGAGUUACACCAGUGUCCAAAAAUGCUCUGUAACUUCCAUACACACUGUAGCCGACAAUCACCUGACCUUAUGUUUAGCCAUUUGUUAGAUGUUGCGCUUGGUUUAAUCAUUGGUAUUUGCUGUAAGUUGCUAGUUUGGGUUAAUUAAUACUUGGACUAGGACUCAGACUUCAGCAAUCCAUGAAUUGUGAUUGGUUGUGGCUUAUAAAGUGUUAUGACAGGCGGGUGAUCAGUGCACCAGGGACUUGCUAGAAUAUAACCCAAAUGUUAGCUAAUUCACAUGACUAGCCAUCUUUAUUUGGUUUAGCUAUUAGCAUUUGCAAACUAACAUUUGAAUUCACAAACAUUUGGUUCAGCUAGCAUUUAAACACAAUAAUCCUUCCAGUGCAAUUCAAAAUCAAUCUGAAAAACAAAGCACUCAAAUGCCAGGAGCACUGAUCCCUCACCAGUCAAACACUGAGCCUGAGUCCUCGUGACAUUAGUUCAACAUGUUAACUAGCGCACUGAGGAUAGCUAGCAUAUAGGUCUGUUAAUCAUGAUUAAUCAUUAAUACUUGGCACUUGCUAUCAGUUGCCAGCAGUUAUGUUCUAACAUUUAGGUUAUUUGUUAGCAAAGUGUCAGUGAAUGACAUUUCAGAGUAAUCAGUUAGAUGCUAGCAUUUUCAAAUUAUUAAUUAACUUCAGAUUUAACCUUUUACGAUGAUCUGUUUAGCAUGUGUAUUAGCCAGAGAUGAGCUAUAAGUCGGAUGUCUUUUUAGUCCAGACAAGAUGAUCCGCUUCGUGGACUGAAAAAGUCCCAAAUUACCCCUUUUAGUAUCAUCCAAACCAAUUCAUCAGGAGAAACGACUGAAAAGACCAGCUGUUCUCUCUCUCUCUCUCUCUCUCUCUCUCUUUCUCUCCUACACACACACACACACACACACACACACACACACACACACACACACACACACAUCUGUGCUCCAUUCAUAAGUCUGUGCAUCUCCUUGAUGAACUUAAUGAUAGUCAACAGGACGUUGAACGUCAACAGGAAGAAUGUACAUCCUGUAUCACUCAUGAACACCAGCCCCUGGUCAUGACACCGGUUAAAAUGAUUGGCUACAUGAUACCGCUACCUCAAUAACCCCAUCCUCUACCUCAAAAAGCCCUCUCUAAUUCAAUAACCCCACUCUCUAAUUCAAUAACCCCA
ensembl:lncRNA